rnacentral:rRNA from 1 species
UAACCUGCCCAAGAGAUCGGGAUAACACCUGGAAACAGAUGCUAAUACCGGAUAACAACAGAUGAUGCCUAUCAACUGUUUAAAAGAUGGUUCUGCUAUCACUCUUGGAUGGACCUGCGGUGCAUUAGCUAGUUGGUAGGGUAACGGCCUACCAAGGCGAUGAUGCAUAGCCGAGUUGAGANACUGAUCGGCCACAUUGGGACUGAGACACGGCCCAAACUCCUACGGGAGGCAGCAGAC